rnacentral:rRNA from 1 species
AGUAAAUUGGUUAAGUUAGAAAGGGCGCACGGUGGAUGCCUUGGCACUAGGAGCCGAAGAAGGACGGGACUAACACCGAUAGGCUUUGGGGAGCUGUACGUAAGCGUUGAUCCAGAGAUUUCCGAAUGGGGGAACCCACUAUCUUUAGUCGGAUAGUAUCCUUACGUGAAUACAUAGCGUGAGGAAGGCAGACCCAGGGAACUGAAACAUCUAAGUACCUGGAGGAAGAGAAAGAAAAAUCGAUUUCCUGAGUAGCGGCGAGCGAAACGGAAAGAGCCCAAACCAAGAAGCUUGCUUCUUGGGGUUGUAGGACACUCUAUACGGAGUUACAAAAGAAAGUUAUAAAUGAAGCGGUCUGGAAAGGCCCGCCAAAGACGGUAACAGCCCGGUAGUUGAAAUGGCUUUCCCUCCAG